UACGUAGGGUGCAAGCGUUGUCCGGAAUUAUUGGGCGUAAAGCGCGCGCAGGCGGUCCUUUAGGUCUGUUGGGAAAGCCCACGGCUCAACCGUGGAGGGUCAUUGGAAACUGGGGGACUUGAGUACAGAAGAGAAGAGUGGAAUUCCACGUGUAGCGGUGAAAUGCGUAGAGAUGUGGAGGAACACCAGUGGCGAAGGCGACUCUUUGGUCUGUAACUGACGCUGAGGCGCGAAAGCGUGGGGAGCAAACAGG
rnacentral:rRNA from 1 species